rnacentral:rRNA from 1 species
UCGGGAAUUUUGGGCAAUGGGCGAAAGCCUGACCCAGCAACGCCGCGUGAAGGAUGAAGUAUUUCGGUAUGUAAACUUCGAAAGAAUAGGAAGAAUAAAUGACGGUACUAUUUAUAAGGUCCGGCUAACUACGUGCCAGCAGCCGCGGUAAUACGUAGGGACCAAGCGUUGUUCGGAUUUACUGGGCGUAAAGGGCGCGUAGGCGGCAAUUCAAGUCAUCUGUGAAAUCUCCGGGCUUAACUCGGAACGGUCAGAUGAUACUGCUUUGCUAGAGUGCAGAAGGGGCAAUCGGAAUUCUUGGUGUAGCGGUGAAAUGCGCAGAUAUCAAGAGGAACACCUGAGGUGAAGACGGGUUGCUGGGCUGACACUGACGCUGAGGCGCGAAAGCCAGGGGAGCAAACGGGAUUAGAUACCCAAGUAGUCCCUGAGCGGGCUGGCAAGGCGCAU